rnacentral:rRNA from 1 species
AAAACAUAGCCCUAAGGAGUUAUUUAGGGUGAAGCCUGCUCAAUGAUAGAUUAAAUAGCCGCGGUACCUUGACCGUGCUAAGGUAGCAUAAUCAGUUGACUUUUAAAUGGAGUCUGGAAUGAAUGGAGUAACGGGGUUAAGCUGUCUCUUUAUUUUUCUUUUUAAUUUACUAAUUAGGUGAAAAGGCCUAAAAAUGAUAAAAGACGAUAAGACCCUUAGAGUUUUUAAUAUAUUUUGUUGGGGCGACAAGGAAUCACUAAACAUUCCUGUUAAAUAUGGGACGGGUUUACCAUGGUCAGAUAAACUACCUGAGGGAUAACAGCAUUAUCUUUUAAGGUUUGUGACCUCGAUGUUGGACUAGGAGGCCUGUAGGUUAGYUGCUUACAAGGGGAGUUCUGUUCGAACUAUUACUCCUACGUGAUC